AGUGAACGCUGGCGGUAGGCCUAACACAUGCAAGUCGAACGGCAGCACAGUAAGAGCUUGCUCUUACGGGUGGCGAGUGGCGGACGGGUGAGGAAUACAUCGGAAUCUACUUUUUCGUGGGGGAUAACGUAGGGAAACUUACGCUAAUACCGCAUACGACCUACGGGUGAAAGCAGGGGAUCUUCGGACCUUGCGCGAUUGAAUGGGCCGAUGUCGGAUUAGCUAGUUGGCGGGGUAAAGGCCCACCAAGGCGACGAUCCGUAGCUGGUCUGAGAGGAUGAUCAGCCACACUGGAACUGAGACACGGUCCAGACUCCUACGGGAGGCAGCAGUGGGGAAUGUUGGACAAUGGGCGCAAGCCUGAUCCAGCCAUACCGCGUGGGUGAAGAAGGCCUUCGGGUUGUAAAGCCCUUUUGUUGGGAAAGAAAAGCAGCAGGUUAAUACCCCGCUGUUCUGACGGUACCCAAAGAAUAAGCACCGGCUAACUUCGUG
rnacentral:rRNA from 1 species